CGUAGGUGCAAGCGUUGUCCGGAUUAUUGGCGUAAGAGCUCGUAGGCGGUUGUCGCGUCUGCUGUGAAACUCAGGGCUUAACCCUGAGCUUGCAGUGGUACGGCAGACUUGAGUGCGGUAGGGAGACUGGAAUUCCUGGUGUAGCGGUGAAAUGCGCAGAUAUCAGGAGGAACACCGGUGGCGAAGGCGGGUCUCUGGGCCGUAACUGACGCUGAGGAGCGAAAGCAUGGGAGCGAACAGGAUU
rnacentral:rRNA from 1 species